CUGUCGGCUGUCCGCCCCCAGGUGGGGCACGGGUGGAAGUCCUCUUUCUCGGCGCGCGCUGCCCUGUCGGAAUCAUAGGGUGGGUGGGUUGGAAGAGACCUUAGAGCCCAUCCAGUUCCACCCCCCCUGCCAUGGGCAGGGACACCUCCCACUAGAUCAGGCUGCGCAACGCCCCAUCCAACCUGGCCUUGAACACCUCCAGGAAUGGGGCAGCCACAGCUUCCCUGGGCAACCUGUGCCACUGCCUCACCACCCUCACAGGAAAACAUUUUCUUCCUAAGGGAAAAGGAGACCAGGUGGCCAAGAAGACCGACAGCAUCCUGGCCUGUAUCUGAAACAGUGUGACCAGCAGGAGCAGGGAAGUAGUUUUGCCCCUUUACUCAACAUUGGUGACGCUGCACCUCGAAUCCUGUGUUCAGUUUUGGGCUCCUCACAAGGAGGACAUUGAGGGGCUGGAGUGUGUCCAGAGAAGGACAAUGUAGCUGGUGAAGGGGCUGGAGAACAGGUGCUAUGAAAGGCUCUGCUUUGGACCUGGACAUUGUCAAGAGCGUGGUGUGAAAAAUGUAACCCUUUUCCCAGUCAUGUCUCUGCAUCCAAGCUGCAGAACAGCCUCUUCCCAGACCAGAAAAUAUCUUGGCUUCUAAAUGUCUCCCACAGUAAUUAAAAUUUCACCUUAAUAAACAUAGAUGUAUUUUGAAAAUUAAUACAUUAAGAAAUGUGAGCAGCUCAUCUAAUUAUAUCCUUCUACCAGGACAGAUGGGAAUUCCAUUCUUCUGAGCACUGUUCCACGAUGAUGCAAUGCUGCCGUCUCGGUUCAAGGCAGGCAGCAUGGGUAGAUCAACCACUUCCCUGAACAUUGCCUCUGCAGGCCGAGAGACUUACCUACUGUAGAACCACAGGACUUGUACCAACUAGGGCCCGACUUCAAUGCUGGAAGCUGUGUAGAAGGUUAUAAAUCUGAUCAAUGUUAAAAAUAAGUGUGUUCCUAGAAAAACCGUUUAUUUGUGGUUGCUGAGGACUGUGGUAGUAUUUGAAAUUCAGUGCAUGAGUGGAGAAGGCAAAGUCACCAAGGCCUCACUGAUGCCAGAGAGAUUGUCCCUGUCUUACUCCUUUUGCAUCCAGUUCCUUCCAAAGGACCAAAGCCUCCCAGCUUUCAUCUGAACACAAGAUCAACAAUAUUGCACAACUUGGCAAGAUAAGAUUGCAUGUGAUUACAAAAACAUUGGCAAAGGCUACCUGCUAACAGACCUACAAGAUGGCCUCACCUUAAGAAGAGAUCCUCUUUCCAGUAGAAGAACUUCUGUGGCUGAUCUGCUAGCCAACUUGGGUCUGAGAACUUCUUUCAUCUAGAGAAGAUGGCCACUUUUUUUUUUUCAUUUAGAAGUAAAAAUAGGUAAUAACCUUUUCUUACGCUCUAAUAAAGACUGUUUUAACUAUCUACAUCUAAGUCUUGCUCUGCAAAAUGGACUUUGUUACGUUUAUAGUUUUGCUCAUCACAAUCUUCUAAACAUUUUGCGUUUCGAUUCUUUUUCUCAUGAUGGGUACAUUUUGCAUUUUGCCAUGAAUUUUCUCAUGCAGGUCGUACUAAGCAAGAUGGAAGCUAUGACCUCAAACCCUUCAAACUUGUGUAGCUAAGUUGACAUGACAGUGUAAUGCCUUUGAUUUUCUGAGCCCUUCACCGCAUGGAAACUAGCGCAACAGUGUGCACAACUCUCCUGCGCACACAACACAUCUGCAUCUAUAUAUUUUGGCCUUAGCUGACACUGGUUUCUAAAAGUACUGUAGAAUUUAAGUGUCACAAUUAUUAUUCUAAGUGCAAGUAAUCAUUCAGUAAGCAAUGCUGUCUCAUGCAAAGUCAAAGGGAGUCAAAGUAAAUAUUUUCUUUGGCUUUAGCUGGCUUUAUGUCAGGCUGCAUGCAUCAUAUUAAAAAUUAAGGAAGAGCUUAAAAUUAAAAUGAAGUUGCAUUAAUAGUUCCUUCUUCAGAAAGGCCCAUGGGGCUAAAAAAAGAUGGAGGUUAAAAAAAGAACUUUUUUCCUUUGCUGUACUAAAAAUGGCAUAUUGUGUUGGGUCAUGGAAUAAAUAGUACUGAAAUGUGAAAAGAAUGGAACCAGAAUUUGAAUGGAAUCUGCAUAAAUUCUAAGACAUGGUUUCUUCGGGGCAAAAGGGAAAAAAAAGAGUUGUUUACUCUGAAAACUUCACAGUAAAAUAUAAAUAGACUCAAGUGAGCUACGAAACUUCAAGAGAGGUCUGAGUCCUGAUGUAACAAGAUUAAAAAACCUGUUUUAUGAUUGCUUAUUGGAAAUCACAACAGUCAAAAAGAUCAUUAACAGGACCAGAGAGCACUAAGGGUUUAAAAAUAGAAAUGUAUCUGUGCCUUGGCUUGGGACUUAUUCACCCUUAAGCUAUUUAAGACUGCAAAUAUUUGUAAGACAGUAUCUUAGAAACACAAUGACAUGGAAAUCCAGAAGAUUCAGACUCUUACUGCCGACACAAUGGUGGGUGUGAUUUCCUCCUCAGAUUCACCAGCUGAAGUUGUGUCUUUGCCACAACCUUUGGGAAGCAAAAAGCAAACAGCACAUUUUAGCAAUGCUUCAAAAGUGGUCUACGCAGCCACUUCCAGCGGUAGUCUUUCCUACUAUUGUCUGCAUUUGCUCUCGGACUUAGUAAACCCGUGUAAUGAUUUUCCUGUUUAAUGCAUUGACACAUUGGGGUUUGGCUUUUUUGUUUGGUUUGUUGGUUGGGUU